GAGCUUGCUCUCGGGUGACGAGCGGCGGACGGGUGAGUAAUGUCUGGGAAACUGCCUGAUGGAGGGGGAUAACUACUGGAAACGGUAGCUAAUACCGCAUAACGUCGCAAGACCAAAGUGGGGGACCUUCGGGCCUCAUGCCAUCAGAUGUGCCCAGAUGGGAUUAGCUAGUAGGUGGGGUAACGGCUCACCUAGGCGACGAUCCCUAGCUGGUCUGAGAGGAUGACCAGCCACACUGGAACUGAGACACGGUCCAGACUCCUACGGAGGCAGCAGUGGGGAAUAUUGCACAAUGGGCGCAAGCCUGAUGCAGCCAUGCCGCGUGUGUGAAGAAGGCCUUCGGGUUGUAAAGCACUUUCAGCGGGGAGGAAGGCGUUAAGGUUAAUAACCUUGGGGAUUGACGUUACCCGCAGAAGAAGCACCGGCUAACUCCGUGCCAGCAGCCGCGGUAAUACGGAGGGUGCAAGCGUUAAUCGGAAUUACUGGGCGUAAAGCGCACGCAGGCGGUCUGUCAAGUCGGAUGUGAAAUCCCCGGGCUCAACCUGGGAACUGCAUUCGAAACUGGCAGGCUAGAGUCGUAGAGGGGGGUAGAAUUCCAGGUGUAGCGGUGAAAUGCGUAGAGAUCUGGAGGAAUACCGGUGGCGAAGGCGGCCCCCUGGACAAAGACUGACGCUCAGGUGCGAAAGCGUGGGGAGCAAACAGGAUUAGAUACCCUGGUAGUCCACGCCGUAAACGAUGUCGAUUUGGAGGUUGUGCCCUUGAGGCGUGGCUUCCGGAGCUAACGCGUUAAAUCGACCGCCUGGGGAGUACGGCCGCAAGGUUAAAACUCAAAUGAAUUGACGGGGGCCCGCACAAGCGGUGGAGCAUGUGGUUUAAUUCGAUGCAACGCGAAGAACCUUACCUGGUCUUGACAUCCACAGAACUUUCCAGAGAUGGAUUGGUGCCUUCGGGAACUGUGAGACAGGUGCUGCAUGGCUGUCGUCAGCUCGUGUUGUGAAAUGUUGGGUUAAGUCCCGCAACGAGCGCAACCCUUAUCCUUUGUUGCCAGCGGUCCGGCCGGGAACUCAAAGGAGACU
rnacentral:rRNA from 1 species